GACGAACUGUGCGAACGUUAUUCGGAAUCACUGGGCUUACAGGGUGCGUAGGCGGCCUGCUAAGUCGGAUGUGAAAUCCCUCGGCUCAACCGAGGACGUGCAUCCGAAACUGCGGAGCUUGAGUAUGGAAGAGGGUCGCGGAAUCCCCGGUGUAGAGGUGAAAUUCGUAGAUAUCGGGGGGAACACCAGUGGCGAAGGCGGCGACCUGGGCCAAUACUGACGCUGAGGUGCGAAAGCGUGGGGAGCAAACAGG
rnacentral:rRNA from 1 species